rfam:Brassica napus, WGS project CCCW01000000 data, contig: 1174
GGAAUAUAAAAAACCGUCUCUUAAUUUUUUAUUUAAAAAAACUAAGAAUUGGCUCUUGAAUAUGAUAUUUAAGAGCCGGUUCUUAGCUUUUUUAGUUAAAAAUUAAGAAACGGUUUCUUAUAUUCC